rnacentral:rRNA from 1 species
AAAGGAAUAGACGGGGGCCCGCACAAGCAGUGGAGCGUGUGGUUUAAUUCGACGCAACGCGUAGAACCUUACCAGGGCUUGACAUCGUAGUGCCAGUUGUAGAAAUACGAUUUUCCGUAGCAAUACGGACGCUAUGACAGGUGUUGCAUGGUUGUCGUCAGCUCGUGUCGUGAGAUGUUGGGUUAAGUCCCGCAACGAGCGCAACCCCUAUUCAGUGUUGCCACCGGGUAAUGCCGGGCACUCACUGGAGACUGCCGGAGACGAUCCGGAGGAAGGUGGGGAUGACGUCAAAUCAUCAUGGCCCUUAUGUCCUGGGCUACACACGCGCUACAAUGGCAGGUACAACGGGCAGCCAAGGGGUAACCCGGAGCAAAUCCCUUAAAGCCUGCCUCAGUUCAGAUUGAGGGCUGCAACUCGCCCUUAUGAAGAUGGAAUUGCUAGUAAUCGCGAAUCAGCUACGUCGCGGUGAAUACGUUCCCGGGCCUUGUACACACCGCCCGU